GAUUGCCUAAUGGUAUCUGAUGUCCAAACUUAAAAAAGUAGUUGGACAUUUCGUUUUUCAUAGGCAGAAACUGAAAGAACAGGCCUUUGCGACACAGCUAGCUUAUUACAUAAGCUACUUGUUACUUUUAAUCUGUUUAUAUCC
rnacentral:snoRNA from 1 species